AUGUUGAUCAUAGUACCAACAACGGCUGGUCUUUCACAAGCACCACAUUAAAGUUUUCCGGGGUCGGUGUAACGGAACAUCGCAUCGCAAGCAAUACGACACAACAAAAGGGACGAUGGACCUAGGAAGAAGCAUCACCAUCUAACACACGUCGAGACGUCCAUUCGCUAGACCAUCAAUGCGAGAGCACAUCUAACCAACACACCGUGGUUCUGCAAUAACACAAGUUCAAGUAAGAGCCAAAUCGUGUACAACACAGGAGGCAACCGGCGAAAUAAAAGGUACUAGCUGACACACCAAAAUAAUGAUCCGCCUAGGGCCGUUUGGACUAUAGCUUGGCCCUUUUAGUCGCGGACGUCUCGUCUUCAUCCGCCGCCAGGCUUUCAGUUGAUUUGCUUCAAGAACAAAUAACAAUUAUGUACAAGAAGUAGAAAAAUGAUGCAUAUAUUGUUAAAUACUCGUAUC
rnacentral:lncRNA from 1 species